rnacentral:rRNA from 1 species
UGGGGAAUAUUGGGGCAAUGGGGCGAAAGCCUGACCCAGCAACGCCGCGUGAAGGAAGAAGGUCUUCGGAUUGUAAACUUCUUUUAUCAGGGACGAAGUAAGUGACGGUACCUGAUGAAUAAGCCACGGCUAACUACGUGCCAGCAGCCGCGGUAAUACGUAGGUGGCAAGCGUUAUCCGGAUUUACUGGGUGUAAAGGGCGCGUAGGCGGGGAUACAAGUCAGAUGUGAAAUCUAUGGGCUUAACCCAUGAACUGCUCUCAAAACUGUAUCCCCUGAGUGUCGGAGAGGCAAGCGGAAUUCCUAGUGUAGCGGUGAAAUGCGUAGAUAUUAGGAGGAACACCAGUGGCGAAGGCGGCUUGCUGGACGACAACUGACGCUGAGGCGCGAAAGCGUGGGGAGCAAACAGGAUUAGAUACCCUGGUAGU